UAGGAGGUUCUACAUGAGGC
rnacentral:piRNA from 1 species